rnacentral:rRNA from 1 species
AUUGAACGCUGGCGGCAGGCCUAACACAUGCAAGUCGAACGGUAACAGGAAGCAGCUUGCUGCUUCGCUGACGAGUGGCGGACGGGUGAGUAAUGUCUGGGAAACUGCCUGAUGGAGGGGGAUAACUACUGGAAACGGUAGCUAAUACCGCAUAACGUCGCAAGACCAAAGAGGGGGACCUUAGGGCCUCUUGCCAUCGGAUGUGCCCAGAUGGGAUUAGCUAGUAGGUGGGGUAACGGCUCACCUAGGCGACGAUCCCUAGCUGGUCUGAGAGGAUGACCAGACACACUGGAACUGAGACACGGUCCAGACUGCUACGGGAGGCAGCAGUGGGGAAUAUUGCACAAUGGGAGCAAGCCUGAUGCAGCCAUGCCGCGUGUAUGAAGAAGGCCUUCGGGUUGUAAAGUACUUUCAGCGGGGAGGAAGGGAGUAAAGUUAAUACCUUUGCUCAUUGACGUUACCCGCAGAAGAAGCACCGGCUAACUCCGUG